rnacentral:tRNA from 1 species
GCCUGAGUGGCUCAGUCAGUUAAGCGUCUGCCUUCGGCUCAGGUCAUGAUCAGGGUUGUGGGAUCAAGUCCCACAUCAGGCU